rnacentral:rRNA from 1 species
GCUAGUAAUCGCAGAUCAGCAUGCUGUGGUGAAUACGUUCCCGGGCCUUGUACACACCGCCCGUCACACCAUGGGAGUCGGUAACACCCAAAGUUGGUAGUCUAACCGCAAGGAGGACGCCGCCUAAGGUGGGAUUGAUGACUGGGGUGAAGUCGUAACAAGGUAGC